ACGUGACCAGAGGCUGCAGUGUUGGACAGCAGAGCUCUCGGGCAAUGGUUUCCAGUGCAAGUCUGCCAGUCUACGAUGAAAAGAUUAUCUGAAUAGGCUGAGCCAUCAGUGGAAAGAGAGGCUGAGCAUCUCAAAAACAGAACAGCUGGGAGUAUGGAGCCAAUGUGACACUCAGGGGAAGCCAGCUGCCAUGUUGUGAGGAUUCUCAAGCAGCCCUGUGGCGAUGUCUUUGUAGCGAGGAACUGAGGCCUCCUGCCAACAGCCAUGGGAGUGAGCCAUCUUGGAAGCAGAUCCCUCAGCUCCAGUGAGAGCUUCACGCGUCGGCAGCUCUUCCUGAAGACUACAUGUCUAUAACUUGACUACAAUCUUGUGAGAGACCCUGAGCCACAGCCACCCAGCUAGGCUGCUUCCAGAGUCCCUACCUUCAGAAACUGCAUGACGAUUUCAGAACAAAACAUGGAAACCAGAUGACCAGAGAAGGAGGCAGGAUGCCCCAGCAGUCUUCAUUUCCAACCUGACCUUUGUCACCAGUUGUCAUUUUGGGCUGGGGAGCUCCCGCUGUUCUACCAGGCUACGCCUCCCUGAGCCUGUCACUCCUCUUCGUUCAUCGGACUGACUGAUUGCUUGUGGAUAUUUGGAAGCACCUAAUAUGUCCCCAGAUACUGUUUUUGAUCCUAAGGAUACGAAGAUGAACAAGAUAGAUAGACACAUUACAUGGGCUCAUAAAAUUUACAAUCUUACGGGGAAAACAUGGCAAACAAG
rnacentral:lncRNA from 1 species